AGAGUUUGAUUAUGGCUCAGGAUAAACGCUGGCGGCAUGCCUAACACAUGCAAGUCGAACGGGGUUUAUAUGAUGGAACUCUUCGGAGGGAAGACAUGUAAACCUAGUGGCGGACGGGUGAGUAACGCGUGGGGAACCUGCCCUGUACCGGGGGACAACAGCCAGAAAUGGCUGCUAAUACCGCAUAAUCCUGCGCUGCCGCAUGGCAGCGCAGGGAAAACUCCGGUGGUACAGGAUGGUCCCGCGUCUGAUUAGCUUGUUGGCGGGGUAACGGCCCACCAAGGCGACGAUCAGUAGCCGGCUUGAGAGAGCGGACGGCCACAUUGGGACUGAGACACGGCCCAGACUCCUGCGGGAGGCAGCAGUGGGGAAUAUUGCACAAUGGGGGGAACCCUGAUGCAGCAAUGCCGCGUGGGUGAAGAAGUACCCCGGUAUGUAAAGCCCUGUCAGCAGGGAAGAAAAUGACGGUACCUGACUAAGAAGCCCCGGCUAACUACGUGCCAGCAGCCGCGGUAAUACGUAGGGGGCGAGCGUUAUCCGGAUUUACUGGGUGUAAAGGGAGCGCAGGCGGCGUGGCAAGUCAGAUGUGAAAACCCGGGGCCCAACCCCGGGACUGCAUUUGAAACUGCCAUGCUGGAGUGCCGGAGAGGCAAGUGG
rnacentral:rRNA from 1 species